GUGACGUAGUCGGGUGACGGCGUGACACGCCGACGCAGGUAUCCACGUUUGGCGCGCGCCAAUUAUCGACAAGAAGAGCGGCGUUUCGAGUUCGCGAUAACAGCCCGGUCGCGCCGACGAGACUGACGUAACGUUAGAGAUAUGGACCUUACGAAUGUAUUUUUAAUCGCGUGGUGUCGUAAAUAAGAAAAUACCCCGAGUCAAGAAUCUUGUAGUUGGAGUGCAUUUACGUAUUAAUAGAAACCGGUUGUCUGAUGAAUGAACGCGAGAUGGACGUCUGAAUCAAAGCCGUCAUGGCCCCGUUUCUAUUGAUCCUGCCGCUGCUUGCAUCAUUGCGCCACCUGAUACAUCCGAUCGACGGCGCAAUCGUCCGGAACGAAACGACGAAGGAGAACGACGUUGACCCUUCUCGGCCUAAAUUCGUCAAGGAUGUUCUAGCACAAACCGGCGGAA